rnacentral:rRNA from 1 species
GACGUAGGGGGCCAGCGUUGCUCGGAAUUACUGGGCGUAAAGGGCGCGUAGGCGGUCAGCACAAGUCAGUUGUGAAAUCUCCGGGCUUAACUCGGAAAGGUCAACUGAUACUGUGCGACUAGAGUGCAGAAGGGGCAACUGGAAUUCUCGGUGUAGCGGUGAAAUGCGUAGAUAUCGAGAGGAACACCUGCGGCGAAGGCGGGUUGCUGGGCUGACACUGACGCUGAUGCGCGAAAGCCAGGGGAGCGAACGGG